rnacentral:rRNA from 1 species
CUGACACAGGGAGGUAGUGACAAUAAAUAGUAUUGCCGAGCUUUUAAAGGUUUGGUCAUCGCAAUGAGAACAAUUUAAACCCCUUAUCGAGGAUCAAUUGGAGGGCAAGUCUGGUGCCAGCAGCCGCGGUAAUUCCAGCUCCAAUAGCGUAUACUAAAGUUGUUGCAGUUAAAAAGCUCGUAGUUGGAUUUCUGUUUUGAAGAAUGGGUCGUGCCCAAACGGGUUCUGUACUUUUUUCUUCGGAACAUCCUCGAAGUUAGCGUGUCUGCCAUUCAGUUGGUGGGCUCGGGACCUUCGUCAUUUACUGUGAGCAAAAUAGAGUGUUCAAAGCAGGCUUAGGCCAUGAAUAUAUUAGCAUGGAAUAAUAAGAUAGGACCUUGGUCUAUUUUGUUGGUUUACAUUCCAAGGUAAUGAUUAAUAGGGAUAGUUGGGGGUAUUCGUAUUCAAU